rnacentral:rRNA from 2 species
CCUACGGGGCGCAGCAGGCGCGAAACCUCUGCAAUAGGCGAAAGCCUGACAGGGUUACUCUGAGUGACUUUCGCUAAGAAAGUCUUUUGGCACCUCUAAAAAGGGUGCAGAAUAAGGGGUGGGCAAGUCUGGUGUCAGCCGCCGCGGUAAUACCAGCACCCCGAGUGGUCGGGACGAUUAUUGGGCCUAAAGCAUCCGUAGCCGGUUCUGCAAGUCCCCCGUUAAAUCCAGCUGCUCAACAGAUGGGCCGCGGAGGAUACUACAGAGCUAGGAGGCAGGAGAGGCAAGCGGUACUCAGUGGGUAGGGGUAAAAUCCGUUGAUCCAUUGAAGACCACCAGUGGCGAAGGCGGCUUGCCAGAAUGCGCUCGACGGUGAGGGAUGAAAGCUGGGGGAGCAAACCGGAUUAGAUACCCCCGUAGUCC